rnacentral:tRNA from 1 species
GAGGGUGUAGUUCAGUUGGUAGAGUGCUUGUCUCACUUGCACAAAGGCCCUGGGUUCAAUCCCCAGUACCACCA